UUAUUUUAUUUUGGUUAAUAUUUUUGUUAUUAUUUUAUUUUACAUGUAAAUUUUUGUGUGAAUUUAUUUAAUUUUUAAAAAAUUAAAUAAUAAAUUUAUUCGCAGUGAUUAAUAUUAAUAUAAAAAAGAAAUUUUGUAUUAGUAAUAAUAUAUAAUAUUGGUAAAAUUUGUGCCAGCUACCGCGGUUAUACAAAUAAUAUAAAUAAAAAUUUUUAGUAUUAGUUAAAUAGUAUAAAUUUAAUAUAACUAUAAAUUUAUUAGGUAAAAUUUUUAAAUUUAUUUAUUAUUAAGAAUUAAAUAAUUUAAGCUAUAAACUUUUUAUAAUAAACUAGGAUUAGAUACCCUAUUAUUAAAAAUAAAUAUUAAUAUACUAAAGUAGUAUUAGCUAUAAUCUUAAAAUUUAAAAAAUUUGGCGGUAUUUUAGUCUAUUCAGAGGAAUCUGUCCUGUAAUUGAUAAUCCACAUUGAACCUUACUUAAAUUUGUUUAAUUUGUAUAUCGCCGUCAUUAGAAUAUGUUAUAAGAUAUUAAUUUUCUUAAUAUUUAAUAAAAUAAUAUGUCAGGUCAAGGUGCAGUUUAUAUUUAAGUAGAGAUGGAUUACAAUAAAUUUAUUUAUAUGAAUAAUUUUUUGAAAUAAAAGUUUGAAAGUGGAUUUGAAAGUAAUAUAAAAUAGAUUAUUUAUAUGAUUUUAGCUCUAAAAUAUGCACAUAUCGCCCAUCGUUCUUAUUUUUAAAAUAAGAUAAGUUGUAACAUAGUAGAUGUACUGGAAAGUGUAUCUAGAAAGA
rnacentral:ncRNA from 1 species